rnacentral:rRNA from 1 species
UACGUAGGAGGCAAGCGUUGUCCGGAAUCACUGGGCGUAAAGCGCGUGUAGGUGGUGGGACAAGUCUGCUGUGAAAGCGCCUGGCUUAACCGGGCGAGGUCGGCGGAAACUGUUCGACUCGAGGACGGUAGAGGGGGGUGGAAUUCCCGGUGUAGUGGUGAAAUGCGUAGAGAUCGGGAGGAACACCUGUGGCGAAGGCGGGUCUCUGGGCCGAUACUGACGCUGAGGAGCGAAAGCGUGGGGAGCGAACAGG